rnacentral:lncRNA from 1 species
UGAUCUAUUAAGGUAAUUUAAAGCUAAUUUGAACAAGUUAGAGCUUUGAGUCUGAGUAAAAGCGCAAGAAAUUAAGUCGGGAUCACGUUCAAGGAUCGAGGACCAAGUUUGGAUGUCAAAAAUACGUAAAAGAGAUUACUCUGAGAAAAAUUCAAUACUGCGCCGCGCCAUGUGCUCCAAGGCACAUGGCGUUAGUGCAAAAUUCAUGCAGAGCGAAUAAAAUUAACUCUCUAAAGAUCCUCACUAAUGUGGCACAUGCGGCGGCGCAUGUGCAUCACGCCAAUGUAUUUUCGCGGUCAAAUUAUCCCGCUUCGGCUUGGAAAGAGUAAUUUCAUUCGGGCUUAUUCCUACAUGAUAUAAGUACAUAAAAAACAAGAUUUUUAUAGGACUUUUGACCUGGAAAGAUUUUGGAGGGCAUUAACAGCUACAAGAUAUAAGAUUUCAUCACCAUUCCAUCAAUUCAAUACUGGAGUUUGGAUUGUAAUGAUAGAUUUAUGUUUUUUUACACUUUAAUUACAUUUAUGAUGAUUUCCUCCAAUUAUGGAGUAGUUUCCCUUAGGAUUUGUUGAAUAUGAUAUUUUGCUAGAUAUGAAUUUUACCUCAAAAUCUUUGCUUGAAUUCGUU